rnacentral:rRNA from 1 species
CCUACGGGAGGCUGCAGUGGGGAAUAUUGGACAAUGGGGGGAACCCUGAUCCAGCCAUGUCGCGUGUGUGAAGAAGGCCCUCGGGUUGUAAAGCACUUUCAGUGAGGAAGAACGCCUGGUGGUUAAUACCCAUCAGGAAAGACAUCACUCACAGAAGAAGCACCGGCUAACUCCGUGCCAGCAGCCGCGGUAAUACGGAGGGUGCGAGCGUUAAUCGGAAUUACUGGGCGUAAAGCGCGCGUAGGUGGCUUGAUAAGCCGGUUGUGAAAGCCCCGGGCUCAACCUGGGAACGGCAUCCGGAACUGUCAAGCUAGAGUGCAGGAGAGGAAGGUAGAAUUCCCGGUGUAGCGGUGAAAUGCGUAGAGAUCGGGAGGAAUACCAGUGGCGAAGGCGGCCUUCUGGACUGACACUGACACUGAGGUGCGAAAGCGUGGGUAGCAAACAGGAUUAGAUACCCUUGUAGUC